CGCACGGGUGAGUAACACGUAUCCAACCUGCCGUCUACUCUUGGACAGCCCUCUGAAAGGAAGAUUAAUACAAGAUGGCAUCAUGAGUCCACAUGUUCACAUGAUUAAAGGUAUUCCGGUAGACGAUGGGGAUGCGUUCCAUUAGAUAGUAGGCGGGGUAACGGCCCACCUAGUCUUCGAUGGAUAGGGGUUCUGAGAGGAAGGUCCCCCACAUUGGAACUGAGACACGGUCCAA
rnacentral:rRNA from 1 species